rnacentral:rRNA from 1 species
UACCNGGUCUUGANNUCCUUUGACCNCUCGAGAGAUCGAGCUUUCCCUUCGGGGACAAAGUGACAGGUGGUGCAUGGUUGUCGUCAGCUCGUGUCGUGAGAUGUUGGGUUAAGUCCCGCAACGAGCGCAACCCUUAUUACUAGUUGCCAGCAUUCAGUUGGGCACUCUAGUGAGACUGCCGGUGACAAACCGGAGGAAGGUGGGGAUGACGUCAAAUCAUCAUGCCCCUUAUGACCUGGGCUACACACGUGCUACAAUGGAUGGUACAACGAGUCGCGAAGUCGUGAGGCCAAGCUAAUCUCUUAAAGCCAUUCUCAGUUCGGAUUGUAGGCUGCAACUCGCCUACAUGAAGCCGGAAUCGCUAGUAAUCGCGGAUCAGAACGCCACGGUGAAUACGUUUCCCGGG